UACAGAGGUCUCAAGCGUUUGUUCGGAUUCAUUGGGCGUAAAGGGUGCGUAGGCGGCGCGGUAAGUCGGGUGUGAAAUCUCGGGCUUAACUCCGAAACUGCAUUCGAUACUGCCGUGCUUGAGGACUGGAGAGGAGACUGGAAUUUACGGUGUAGCGGUGAAAUGCGUAGAUAUCGUAAGGAAGACCAGUGGCGAAGGCGGGUCUCUGGACAGU
rnacentral:rRNA from 1 species